CCCAGCACAAAACAUCUUCCCCAGCCUCACUGCUGCACUCCUACACACGUGAUAAGGAAAUGAGUAGUCCUCUGUACAGUAAUUUCCUCUACGCCGCAGAGUUUCAACACAAUUGUCCUUCAAGUGCCGAUAAAUUGCCAGUAUGACAGGUGCAGGAAGUCUGCUCUGACCUUCCUGAAAUGAUGUCAGACUACAGUGGUGGCAACAUGAAGGUUCUGAACUAGGUUAACUUGGGAUUCAUAAUCUUUCACUUGUGGGCAGAUCCACCCAACCCCACAGUCCUGCCAGCUGGAAUUUCCAGGAUGUGCCUGAAUGCUCCAAAGCACACAAACAUAUGAUGAAAUCCAGAAGUACGGGCACUACAGACUGAGCCUCUCCCAUAUCCUUAAGAUCAUGCAACAUCAAUAAAAUGAAACACUACUGGUCAGAAUUUUCACCUCCAGUGUUCCAUGCCUAAUUAUGUGAUUUUAAGAUGUUACUACCCCUGGAAGAAGCAUAAAGCCCAGAAGAAAGCGAGGAGAGGAAAUUUAGAUCUAUCAGUAUUAGCAAGAGGAGGGGGGGGGGGGGGGGAAGUAAAUCACCACAAACCCAAUUAUGCCCCCAAGUUUAGCAGCAUCCAUGAUUACAUGUAUUUAGCCAUAACAGGUACGGCUAAAUAAUAUAUAAUGUAACUUAGAAGAAGGUAAUUAAUAACUUUUGUCUCUUUGGUGUACGUGUUCUACAAGGAGAUUAAAA